UCCCUGGUGGUCUGGUGGUUAGGACUCAGCACUUUCACUGCUGUGGCCUGGGUCCAAUCUCUGGUUUGGGAA
rnacentral:tRNA from 1 species